ACAUGUUUACUGUAGCUGACUAGGUCUUACUAAUAUACACAAUUAACACAAACUGUUCUUUCUUGCAUGCAUUUAAACUAUAUGUAAAAGGGAUUAUUUCGAUUGUGACGUAGCCACACGCACACCUGAAGCAUCUUUCCAAACGAGAUGAAUGAUGGAUGAAAAAUGAAGGCUGCCUUUCAAGGAUCCUUCUGAUUGAGAUAGCCUUCAGCGACGCUUGAUGACGUGACAGCCGAGGUUUGCAGCCUUCCAUUUGAGAAGCGCCCGAAUGCUUUGUCCAAAUACCCACACUUGCGGUCUUGGCCACUUGAGAGCUCGUGCACGUGACAGGAAGUAAGUGCGCAAGACUGUCCCAUGUCUUAAAAAUGCCAAAGUGCAGUGCCCUUAAGGCACACUAAACCCACACUAUCCGAAGCGGUAUUCGAGGCUAAGCGUAUCCCAUCAUGCAUUAUGUUCGGGAACUCACGUGCCCUGAAAUCAUGAGAUGUCAAUGAAAACGUUAAAUUCAAAGUUAAAUUAAUUAGAUAUUACAUAAAAAUUGGUAGUAAAACAUAAAGUGUUGCACAUUUUAUUGGUGCAAAGAUGAGUAGGCUACGUGUAUUUUGUACAUCAUUUGUAACUGCUGUCUAUCACUUCAUUAGAAGCAGCACAAUUUUAAUAUUGUGUCUUCUGUUAGUUACAUAGCGACCACUGAACAGACAUUUAGAAGUUUAUUUUAAAAUGCAAAGUAUUGAAAAUAAUAAUUAAAAAAAAAAACUCUGUAAACACUUGCAUUUUUUGCAACACGCUGGCUGCGUCCGAAACCGCCUACUUCUCUACUAUAUAAUAGGGAAAAAGCAGUAGGCGAGCGAAUAAGUAUGUCAGAAACCUCAGUAAUCAUAAAUGAGUAGUCGAGAAGUUCCCGGAUGGCCUACUGCUUCCGCCCAGAUUCUGAAGUGUUCCUCGAUCGAUACUUUUCUAUCCCAGGAGGCCACAGGAGAGGAUACGUCAUAAUUGAACAUGGAGGAGAAAAGCGGCGCGGAUGCUUUCAAAUGGACAGAUGAUCACGUGUGUUCAUCCGCUGGAGAGAGGCUGAUGAAGGAAUGAUGCCAUCAAAGGCUUUGAGUGACGAUACUACAGAAAUGAGUAAGUCUAUUUAAAUCUAAAGUCUAGUUUAUUUUAAUUUUUGUAAUUUAAGCAGAGUUAUUACAGCACUUUUCUGAAUCUUGAUUUCUGUGCAUUUGCUGCAGAGCUCUGUGGUGAAGCAGGACCUACAAGACAAGGUGACUGCAGCAAAAAAGGAAAACCUGAAACAAAAAUAUAAAGUAAGAUCAUUUUGUUACUUCUAAUACAGAAAUCAAAUGACACUGUGCUGUUAAGAUGACUGCUUUUGUACUAUAUUUGUGCAUUAUUGUAGGAUGUGAAAUGUCCUCAGACUGGUGUGAGCUACGACAAAAAUUAGCGAGUAAUUGUAAAAAUAUUAAAUGAAAUAUGGCAAGAAACAGAAUGCUGACAUUAAUGAAUUGUAAAAUGUUUUAAUCUGUUUUAGUCAUGCUGAUGGAGAGCACAUGAAUGUUUGCAGCAGACACAGCAGCAGCCAGAUUGUCCCACACAUCUUCUCCCACUCUUGCUUCAAGGUUGUGGGGUUCAGGGGUCCAUCAUCAUCAUCUUCCUCAUCCUCUGGAUCCACGAUGUCCCCACUGAGAAGAGCAGCAGUGAGGGACAUGAUGGAUGAAGGUGUUCAUCAGAAUAAAGCUGCAGAACUGGCACAGCUGUGUGAGAUGGCAGUAGGAUUGUAAAUACGUGAUUGUUAGAUCAAUAAAUUUGAAUAAAGCUUUGUUUUAUGUGUU